AAGUGUAUUUUAAGUGUAACCACUGCAAAGUGCUUCAGUGCACAAUAACGUUUUCACUGGGUGUCAAAACUGUGUGACUGAAAAGCAGGAUAGGCAUUGUGAAGGACAAAGAGGAAGUAUCGCUCCUGAGAUGCAAUGGCAGUUGUUUCCCCGCUCUGUCUGAGCCUGACCAGGGAUUUUUGCUGAGCAGUGCGCUCAGUGGCACACUCGUUCCUAUAGCUUGCUGGACCAACGUAUGAUGACUACUUGGCUGGACCAAGAGAUGACAAGGAAACAAAACAACAACAACAAAAACAAACAUACAAACAAAAGCACCAAGAAAUCCACCUGCAAUGUAGAAGUAGGGCACCUGAAUUUAUUACAUUCUUUGCUCCUACCACUGUGUUUUUCAUUGCAGGUUAAC